GACGUAGGGGGCGAGCGUUGUCCGGAAUUACUGGGCGUAAAGAGCACGUAGGCGGGACUACAGGUCAGGUGUGAAAGACCGCGGCUCAACCGCGGGGUUGCAUUUGAAACCGUAGUUCUUGAGGGCAGGAGAGGUCAGUAGAAUUCCUGGUGUAGCGGUGAAAUGCGUAGAAAUCAGGAGGAAUACCAGUGGCGAAGGCGACUGACUGGACUGACCCUGACGCUGAGGUGCGAAAGCGUGGGUAGCAAACAGG
rnacentral:rRNA from 1 species